rnacentral:rRNA from 1 species
AGCGGCGCACGGGUGAGUAACACGUGGGUAAUCUGCCCUUAGGACUGGGAUAACCCGGGGAAACUCGGGCUAAUACCAGAUAAGACCACGCGACGAGAGUCGUGCGGUUAAAGCGGAGGACUUCUUCGGAAGCUUCGUACCUUUGGAUGAGCCCGCGGCCCAUCAGCUAGUUGGCGGGGUAAUGGCCCACCAAGGCUAAGACGGGUAGCUGGUCUGAGAGGAUGAUCAGCCACACUGGAACUGAGACACGGUCCAGACUCCUACGGGAGGCAGCAGUGGGGAAUCUUGCGCAAUGGGCGAAAGCCUGACGCAGCAACGCCGCGUGAGUGAUGAAGGUCUUCGGAUCGUAAAGCUCUGUCGGAGGGAACGAUGCCGGGGUUGGCUAACAUCCAACAACGGUGACGGUACUCUCAAAGGAAGCACCGGCUAACUCUGUGCCAGCAGCCGCGGUAAGACAGAGGGUGCAAGCGUUGUUCGGAAUUAUUGGGCGUAAAGGGCGCGUAGGCGGCUUCAUAAGUCAGAUGUGAAAGCCCGGGGCUUAACCCCGGAAGUGCGUCUGAUACUGUG